UACGGAGGGUGCAAGCGUUAUCCGGAUUUACUGGGUCUAAAGGGUGUGUAGGCGGGCUUUUAAGUCAGCGGUGAAAUCUCCGGGCUCAACCUGGAAACUGCCAUUGAUACUAUUAGUCUUGAAUUUUGUUGAGGUAGGCGGAAUAAGUCAUGUAGCGGUGAAAUGCUUAGAUAUGACAUAGAACACCAAUUGCGAAGGCAGCUGGCUACACGAAUAUUGACACUGAUGCACGAAAGCGUGGGGAUCAAACAGG
rnacentral:rRNA from 1 species